GAGCUGGUUAUUGGAGCUGGUUAUUGGAGCUGGUUAUGGAGCUGGUUAUUGGAGCUGGUUAUUGGAGCUGGGUUGUUGGAGCUGGUUAUUGGAGCUGGUUAUGGGAGCUGGGUUAUUGGAGCUGGGUUCUGGUUGUUGGAGCUGGUUAUUGGAGCUGGUUAUUGGAGCUGGUUAUUGGAGCUGGUUAUUGGAGCUGGGUUAUUGGAGCUGGUUAUGGGAGCUGGUUAUUGGAGCUGGUUAUUGGAGCUGGGUUAUUGGAGCUGGGUUAUGGGAGCUGGUUAUUGGAGCUGGGUUAUUGGAGCUGGGUUAUUGGAGCUGGGUUAUUGGAGCUGGUUAUUGGAGCUGGGUUAUUGGAGCUGGGUUAUUGGAGCUGGUUAUUGGAGCUGGUUAUGGGAGCUGGUUAUGGGAGCUGGUUAUUGGAGCUGGGUUAUGGGAGCUGGUUAUUGGAGCUGGUUAUUGGAGCUGGUUAUUGGAGCUGGUUAUGGGAGCUGGUUAUUGGAGCUGGUUAUUGGAGCUGGUUAUUGGAGCUGGGUUAUGGGAGCUGGGUUAUUGGAGCUGGUUAUUGGAGCUGGUUAUUGGAGCUGGUUAUUGGAGCUGGGUUAUUGGAGCUGGUUAUGGGAGCUGGUUAUUGGAGCUGGUUAUUGGAGCUGGGUUAUUGGAGCUGGGUUAUGGGAGCUGGUUAUUGGAGCUGGGUUAUUGGAGCUGGGUUAUUGGAGCUGGGUUAUUGGAGCUGGUUAUUGGAGCUGGGUUAUUGGAGCUGGGUUAUUGGAGCUGGUAUUACAGUGUUCUGUGGGUAUUGUUCCAGGUAUUAUAGUGUUCUGUGGGUAUUGUUCCAGGUAUUACAGUGUUCUGUGGGUAUUGUUCCAGGUAUUAUAGUGUUCUGUGGGUAUUGUUCCAGGUAUUAUAGUGUUCUGUGGGUAUUGUUCCAGGUAUUACAGUGUGUUCUG
rnacentral:lncRNA from 1 species